rnacentral:rRNA from 1 species
GCCAGCAGCCGCGGUAAUUCCAGCUCCAAUAGCGUAUAUUAAAAUUGUUGCAGUUAAAAAGCUCGUAGUUGAAUUUCUGCUAAAAAUAACCGGUCUGCUUUUAAUAAAGGUGGUAUCUUGGUGUGUUUUUAGCAAUAAUGUCCUUUGAAAUGUUUUUUACUUCAUUGUAAUAAAUUAUWUUUAGGAUUUUUACUUUGAGAAAAUUAGAGUGUUU